rnacentral:rRNA from 1 species
UGAGGAAUAUUGGUCAAUGGACGCAAGUCUGAACCAGCCAAGUAGCGUGCAGGAUGACGGCCCUAUGGGUUGUAAACUGCUUUUAUAUGGGGAUAAAGUGGGGAACGUGUUCCCUUUUUCAGGUACCAUAUGAAUAAGGACUGGCUAAUUCCGUGCCAGCAGCCGCGGUAAUACGGAAGGUCCAGGCGUUAUCCGGAUUUAUUGGGUUUAAAGGGAGCGUAGGCUGUUUGUUAAGCGUGUUGUGAAAUGUAAGAGCUCAACUUUUAGAUUGCCGCGCGAACUGGCAGACUUGAGUGCGCACAACGUAGGCGGAAUUCAUGGUGUAGCGGUGAAAUGCUUAGAUAUCAUGACGAACUCCGAUUGCGAAGGCAGCUUACGGGAGCGCAACUGACGCUAAAGCUCGAAGGUGCGGGUAUCUAACAGG